CCGGCGCCCCGCGCCCGUCCCGCCGUCCCCGCCCGAGAGUUUGAUCCUGGCUCAGAUUGAACGCUGGCGGCAGGCCUAACACAUGCAAGUCGAGCAGGUAGAGAGAAGCUUGCUUCUCUUGUAGAGCGGCGGACGGGUGAGUGAAUGCCUAGGAAUCUGCCUGGUAGUGGGGGAUAACGUUCGGAAACGGACGCUAAUACCGCAUACGUCCUACGAGGAGAAAGCAGGGGACCUUCGGGCCUUGCGCCUAUCAGAUGAGCCUAGGUCGGAUUAGCUAGUUGGUGGGGUAAUGGCUCACCCAAAGGCGACGAUCCGUAACUGGUCUGAGAGGAUGAUCCAGUCACACUGGAACUGAGACACGGUCCAGACUCCUACGGGAGGCAGCCAGUGGGGAAUAUUGGACCAAUGGGCGGAAAGCCUGAUCCAGGCCAUGCCGGCGUGUGUGAAGAAAGGUCUUCGGAUUGUAAAGCACUUUAAAGUUGGGAGGAAGGGUUGUAGAUUAAUACUCUGCAAUUUUGACGUUACCGACAGAAUAAGCACCGGCUAAACUCUGUGCCAGCAGCCGCGGUAAUACAGAGGGUGCAAGCGUUAAUCGGAAUUACUGGGCGUAAAGCCCGCGUAGGUGGUUUGUUAAGUUGGAUGUGAGAUCCCCGGGGCUCAACCUGGGAACUGCAUUCAAAACUGACUGACUAGAGUAUGGUAGAGGGUGGGUGGAAUUUCCUGUGUAGCGGUGAAAUGCGUAGAUAUAGGAAGGAACCCAGUGGCGAAGGCGACCCCCUGGACUGAUACUGACACUGAGGUGCGAAAGCGUGGGGAGCAAGCAGGAUUAGAUACCCCUGGCUAGUCCACGGCCGUAACCGAUGUCUAACUAGCCGUUGGGAGCCUUGAGCUCUUAGUGGCGCAGCUAACGCAUUA
rnacentral:rRNA from 1 species